rnacentral:tRNA from 1 species
GGGCAUGUAGCGCAGUUGGUAGCGCGCUCGCUUAGCAAUUGUACUACGUCAGAUUACGUAAGAAAGCUGCGAGAGGUCUUGGGUUCAAUUCCCAACCUGUCCA